UUGCCUGGUGACAAUAGCGAAGGUGUCCCACCCGUUCCCAUUCCGAACACGGAAGUUAAGCCCUUCAGCGCCGAUGGUACUGCGGUUCAAGCCGUGGGAGAGUAGGUCGUCGCCAGGCUU
rnacentral:rRNA from 1 species